rnacentral:rRNA from 1 species
AGAGAGUCAAAAAGACCGCGAAACCGUUAGGAGGGAAACGAAUGCAGCUGAAUGGGCUUUGCUCGAGCUCAGGAGCGAUGUCGGUGGGCGAUGCCGGUCUGCGAGAGCCGCAAGGCUUUGCUCUCCGGAUAGCUGCCGACUCCUCUGCACUCUCGGGCUUCGCCUGCCAACGACGGUUGUCGGUGGUUGAGAAGGGCGCUUGGGUAGGUUCUCACCCCUCGGGGUGAUGCUUAUAGCCAUCCGUCUGGAAGUCCGCCGGCGACCGAGGAUAACUUGCAGUGCAGGCCUUCGGGCUUGGGCCGUUUCUGGCCGUUUGGGCGCCGCGGAGUGGACUGCAUGCAGUGCGCGCCGACGGACGUCUGCUCGGGUGGGAGACCGGUCACAUCUGCGCUGUGGUUGUUGGUUAUCAAAUGGCUGCAUCCGACCCGUCUUGAAACACG